rnacentral:rRNA from 1 species
CCUUACGGGCGGUGAGUGCAACUGACGCUGAGGCUCGAAAGUGUGGGUAUCAAACAGGAUUAGAUACCCUGGUAGUCCACACAGUAAACGAUGAAUACUCGCGGUUGGUUCGUUAGAUUCAGCCGCCAAGCGAAAGCGUUAAGUAUUCCACCUGGGGAGUACGCCGGCAACGGUGAAACUCAAAGGAAUUGACGGGGGCCCGCACAAGCGGAGGAACAUGUGGUUUAAUUCGAUGAUACGCGAGGAACCUUACCCGGGCUUGAACUGCCAGUGACUCAUGCAGAGACGCAUGUUUCUUCGGACACUGGCGGAGGUGCUGCAUGGUUGUCGUCAGCUCGUGCCGUGAGGUGUCGGCUUAAGUGCCAUAACGAGCGCAACCCUUCUCCCUGUUUGCCAUCGGGUCAUGCCGGGCACUCCAGGGACACUGCCAUCGUAAGAUGUGAGGAAGGUGGGGAUGACGUCAAAUCAGCACGGCCCUUACGUCCGGGGCUACACACGUGUUACAAUGGGCGGUACAGAAAGCAGCUACCCCGCGAGGGGAUGCCAAUCUCAAAAACCGUUCUCAGUUCGGACUGGAGUCUGCAACCCGACUCCACGCAGCUGGAUUCGCUAGUAAUCGCGCAUCAGCCAUGGCGCGGUGAAUACGUUCCCGGGCCUUGUACACACCGCCCGUA